CCCCGGGAAACAGUGCCCAGCUCUCCACUCCAACCUUCCCCCACCUGGGUAGCAAAGGUGUGCUAUUUAUGCGCAGAGCUGAGGAACAAAGCCGAACCGCACACAACCAGACCCACAACGAGUUAAGAGGGGCUUGAACGCCCUCCAAAGGCAGAGGCUCCAUCUCCCCUCCUGAGACGCGACGAAAGUUGUUACGGUACAUAGACAGCAACUCCUAAACUCGAAUUUCAGCCUCAGAGACCCAGAACCCGGUGGCUACUCAGUCCACGAGGCUGGGUGUCUCUCAGCAGUGCCAAUCUGGUCCCCAAGCCUGGGAGGAGUCCCCGCAGAGCCGCCGGUUCUCAGUCCAUCCUGGAAGCCGAGGAGAGCUGGUUCCCACAUUAUGGAAGAACUCAGCAGCAACAGGGUGAAUUAACCAGGCAGCCGGAGGGCAGGCCAAGUGGGCAAGCGAGAGUAACCUUGCAGUCUCCCUAACUUCCGCAUCCUUUUUCAUCCGGGCCAGCCACGUUCCAGGUAUCUUUAACUGACAUGGGGUAUCUUCACUGUGUGAAAGCAAAGAUGAGUUGGAUUUGAGAAGAAAGAUCACAGCUGAGCUUUUUAUGUCACUAAGCUUCUGAAAACCUUGAAUCAUUUGCAUGAAGAUGAAAACUAGACAGAACUGUAGGCUGGUGCUUGCGGAAACUGUCUGUCGAAGAUGAAUAGAAGAGAUCAAACCUGGAGGAGGCAAGGUUGAUGUUGGAGUGGUGAGAAGAGGAGCAGGAAGAAGGGACAGCCGGACAACAAGGCCAGCAAUGGCUCCCACAGUGAGUGAGACAUGGCUCAUGAAUGCAGAGCCAUUAACGGCCAAGGGAGCCAAGAAUUUUCCUCUGGAUUGGAUGUGGUUUGACCUCCAUCCAUCUGUGUGCUGGAACCCUGACCUUCAGUCUGGUAGAAUUCAUAAGAGAUAGAGUUCUGUGGGAGAUCCUUAGACAUUGCCCCACUCCCCCAGAAAGGAUUAAGACAUUUCUCUGGGGAAUCCAGGCAAAUUCUCUCUAGGGGACAUUGUUAUAAGCAGUCUGAUCACCGUCCUGCUCAACCUGUCCUGCACCAAGAAAUGAUCCCUUCCCUGAUACAUGUUCUACCGUGUGUCAUGAGGACCGUGCAAAACAUUCACUAUUUACACUUUCAGCCGGCAGACCAGUGAGCUAAAUAAACCUGU